CUUUAACCUAACGAAUAAAACGGGCCACUAACUUCGGGUUACCGUAUGGGGGGGUUUAGCUGAUGACAUGGUCACUAAAAAGGAACAGCUUCUAGUGCUUAUGGUGUCCUCUUGACUUCAAUGAGUGCGAAAAUAACCUUCUGGCAACUAUUGGAGUGGGGGCGUGAGAAGAGGUACAACCCGUUUACGAUAAUGAAACGCUUAACGUUAAGGUAUAGGUUGCUACUUUAGAUUACUGGUGGAACUGUUGACAUUCUUGUUGUUCUGACUGAUGAGACGGCAGAGAGAUUUGUGCAGGACCAGCAGAUCAUUACUAGCUGAGCACCAUGCGAAUAGUGUAAAGAAGAUCCCAUCCCCUAUGAAGAUACAAGAAAAAUCAAUAAUCAUUCAUUCAGACACAAGUGUUAGACCAUACGGAAAUAUUUACUCAACAAGAAAUAAGUAGCUAAAUUACUCAGGACUAAAGGUGUACUUAUUGUAAAGAUCAAAGACAGAAUAUGGAAUACAAGAAGUUGAGGAUACAAAAGAAGAAUAAGAAGACUUGAAGGUUGAAAGUGUAAAUUGAAGACACUAUAUAUUCAACCCAUUCUCUCAUUUUAGGGUUAACACACAUGAUCGUUUUCUCUCUCAAAGAUUGCAGCCUAUAUUCUCUGUUAUAUAAUCUCUAUAUAUCUAUAUAUAUCUGUAUAUAUAUAUCACUUUGAUAUAUAUACAUAUUCUGCUAUAUAAUCAUCUUAUUGAUGAUUAUUGGUUUUGUAUU